AUUGAAAACGAAAGAGCGCAGUUAUUGUUGAAAGUUGAUGCCUCUUCUAAAGUAUAUUCUAGCUGCUCCGAGUGGAAGAGAAAUGGUCACCACCAAGACGGCCACUAUUUACUGGACGUGGACGGUAAAGGCGGCGUUCAAGCUUUCUACGUGUGGUGUAACAUGACGUCAUCACCCCCUACGGCUUCCAUCGGCCACGAUCGAGGUCUCCGAACUAAGACGGUUGGUUACGAAAAAGUUGGAUCACAUAUUUGUAAAGUGUUGUAUGACGUCACCAUGAGGCAGCUUACAGCCCUGAUGAGCAAUUCAUCUAACUGUAAACAAUAUUUU